UUUCUCAAAAGUGAGAUUACAAGUGGAUCAACUUUCAAAUGCAGUGUUUGAUAUACCAUUUUGUAGCUCUGAGUCUCUACUUUUAUAUCAUAAUUUUGCUACAUAAGACCGAAUCCGGGUGGUGAGUCAAUCCAGGUGGUGAGUUAUUCCGGGUGGUGAGUCAAUCCAGGUGGUGAGUUAUUCCGGGUGGUGAGUUAAUCCAGGUGGUGAGUUAUUCCGGGUGGUGAGUUAAUCCAGGUGGUGAGUUAUUCCGGGUGGUGAGUUAAUCCAGGUGGUGAGUUAUUCCGGGUGGUGAGUUAUUCCGGGUGGUGAGUUAUUCCGGGUGGUGAGUCAAUCCAGGUGGUGAGUUAUUCCGGGUGGUGAGUUAUUCCGGGUGGUGAGUUAUUCCGGGUGGUGAGUCAAUCCAGGUGGUGAGUCAAUCCAGGUGGUGAGUUAUUCCGGG
ensembl:lncRNA